rnacentral:rRNA from 1 species
GACGAACGCUGGCGGCGUGCCUAAUACAUGCAAGUGGGACGCAAGGAAACACACUGUGCUUGCACACCGUGUUUUCUUGAGUCGCGAACGGGUGAGUAACGCGUAGGUAACCUGCCUAUUAGCGGGGGAUAACUAUUGGAAACGAUAGCUAAUACCGCAUAAUAUUAAUUAUUGCAUGAUAAUUGAUUGAAAGAUGCAAGCGCAUCACUAGUAGAUGGACCUGCGUUGUAUUAGCUAGUUGGUAAGGUAAGAGCUUACCAAGGCGACGAUACAUAGCCGACCUGAGAGGGUGAUCGGCCACACUGGGACUGAGACACGGCCCAGACUCCUACGGGAGGCAGCAGUAGGGAAUCUUCGGCAAUGGACGUAAGUCUGACCGAGCAACGCCGCGUGAGUGAAGAAGGUUUUCGGAUCGUAAAGCUCUGUUGUAAGUCAAGAACGUGUGUGAGAGUGGAAAGUUCACACAGUGACGGUAGCUUACCAGAAAGGGACGGCUAACUACGUG